rnacentral:tRNA from 1 species
GCCUAGGUGGCUCAGCGGUUGAGCAUCUGCCUUGGGCUCAGAGUAUGAUCUCAGGAUCUGGGAUCGAGUCCCAUAUUGGGCU